rnacentral:lncRNA from 1 species
AUAAGGCUUCGGUAGGCCCCGCCCCCCGCCCCUCCCCUCCCCCACAGGCACUUACAGACCCCUCCCCCCCCCCCCCCGCCCCCCUCCCCGGUGGGGUUCGGCCCCGCCCCCCCCGGGGCCGCCCCAUAUUUGGUGUCGGUGCGGCGGCGGAAGGGGAGGGGGGGCCGCGGGGGCGGGGCUUAAGGGUGGGCGGGGCUUCUACGAGGGGGCGUGGUCAAGGAGGAAGAGGUAAAAGGGGGCGGGGCGACAGCCAAGGGGGCGUGGUUGUGGGAGGGGCAGCGGGGAGGAAGUUAAGGGGCGGGACUUCCGGUUUAUAGAAGAGCUGAGCGCAAAGGGGCGUGGCUUAAAGGAGAUGGGCGGGGCUUAGGGCACGGGGGCGGGGCUUAGGGAACGGAGAGAGCGGGUGAGGGAAAGAAGCGUGGCUCAAGGAAGUGGGCGGGGCUUUCUACGAGGGGGCGUGGCCAGGGAGGGAGCCAAAGGGGGCGGGGCGACGUUCAAGGGGGCGUGGUUGUGGGAGGGGCGUCGGGGAGGAAGCGAAGGGGCGGGACUUCCGGUUUAGAGAAGAGCUUCGGGAGGGAGAGGGGUGUGGCUUAAGGAAGUGGGCGGGGCUUAUGGAGAAAGGGGGCGGGGCUUAAGGGACGGGUCGUGAUUGAUAGGGCGUGGUUUAAUGGGUGGGCGGGGCUUAAUGGGAGGGGCGGGGCUUAAUGGGGUGAAUGGGGGGGCAGAUGAAGGGAUGGAUGGGAGUGAAUAAAAGGGGGGGGGGGGGGCCCUAAUUAAGGCCCCUUUCUUAAUUGGGGUCCCUCCAUACAGAAGGGGAUACCGCCCUUAAUUAGCCCCCCCCCCCCCCCCCCCCCCCCCCCCCCCCCCCUUGUAAUUAAAGCCCACCUGCAAUUAAGGGGAUGCAUCGUUAUAGGGAACCCCCCCCCCCCCCCCCACCUCCUUCCAGCAGCAAAGGGACCCCAUGGUAAUUAAGGCCCCUUCAUUAAUUAAGGCCCCUUCUUAAUGAGGCCCUUCCUGUCACGAGGGGUCACCCCCAUCAUUAAGGGCCCCCUCGUUAAUUAAGGCCCCGCCCAUCAUUAAGGUCCCCACCAUACAUAAGGCAAGCCCCUACGUAAUUAACGGUCCCCCCGCUAAUUAAGGUCCCCCGUGAUUAAAGGGAUCCCCCAUUCUUAGGGGGAACCCCCGCAUAAUUAAGGCCCCUAUUUAAUUAAGGCUCCUCCCUCCGCAAUUAGCGCCUGUCCAUCAUUAAGGGGACCCCCUCAUUAAUUAAGAGGAUCCCCCUCCUAAUUAGCGGCCCCACAUCGUUAAGGCUCCCUCCAUCAUUAAGGGUUUCCCCUACCAAUUAAGGGGACUCCCCCCUCUUAAUUAGGGUAUACGCAAUUAAGGGUCCCCCCAUUAAUUAAGGGAACCCCCCCCCCCAAUGAGGGCUCACUUCAUUAAGGGUCCCCCCAUUAAUUAAGGGGACGCCCCCCACAAUGAGAGCUUUCUUCAUUAAUGUUCCCCCCAUUAAUUACGGGGACCCCCCAAAAUGAGAGCACACAUCAUUAAGGGUCCCCCCACUAAUUAAGGGGACCCCCCCAUAAUGAGGGCGCGCAUCGUUAAGGACCCCCCUACUAAUUAAAGAGAUCCCCCCGCCCCCCCCCAACAAUGAGACCUCACGUAAUAAAGGGUCCCACCCCCAAUUAAUGGUCCCCCCACUAAUUAAGGAGAACCCCCCCCCAAUGAGGGUACAAUUAAGGGUCCCCCCACCAAUCAAUGGUCCCCCCACUAAUUAAGGAGAACCCCCCCCCCACCAAUGAGGGUACAAUUGAGGGUCCCCCCCACUAAUUAAGCAGACCCCUCCCCAUAAUGAGGGAUUCCAUCAUUAAGGGCCCUCCCAUUAAUUAAGGAGACCCCCCCCCUACAAUGCCAGCUCAUACAAUUAAGGGUCCCCCAUCAAUUAAGGGGACCCCCCCUACAAUAAGGGCACACAUCAUUAAGGGUCCCCCCACCAAUUAAUGGUCCCCCCACUAAUUAAGCAGACCCCCCCAUAAUGAGGGCACACAUCAUUAAGGGCCCUCCCAUUAAUUAAUGGUCCCCCCUCAAUUAAGUGGACCUCCCCCCCCCAAUGAGGGCACACAUCAUUAAUGGUCCUCUACUAAUUAAAGGGACCCCCCCCACCCCCCAAUGAGGGCACACAUCAUUAAUGGUCCUCUACUAAUUAAAGGGACCCCCCCACCCCCCAAUGAGGGCUCAC